AUCGCUUCUCAGCCUUUUGGCUAGGAUCAAGUAUAUGUUCUUAUCAGUUUAAUAUCUGAUACAUUCUCUAUCCUAGGACAAUAUAUUAAAUGAAUUUUUGGAGCAGGAAGUUGGAAUAGGAGCUUGCUCCAUCCACUCCACGCAUCAACCUGGUAUUGCAGUACUUCCAGGAACAGUGCACCCCUU